GACAGAGGGUGCAAGCGUUGUUCGGAAUUAUUGGGCGUAAAGGGCGCGUAGGCGGCGCCGUAAGUCAGAUGUGAAAUCCCAGGGCUCAACCCUGGAAGUGCGUCUGAUACUGCGGUGCUUGAGUCCCGGAGAGGGUGGUGGAAUUCCCAGUGUAGAGGUGAAAUUCGUAGAUAUUGGGAGGAAUACCGGUGGCGAAGGCGACCACCUGGACGGAGACUGACGCUGAGGCGCGAAAGCGUGGGGAGCAAACAGG
rnacentral:rRNA from 1 species